AGUUAUUGGAGUGCGAUAAUGAGUCAGCACAACCACAAGGCAACGACCAACAACACGAUAAUAAUCGUACCGGUGGCAACGGCCAUCGGAACAAUGAUAACCAUCGUGGGGGAAAUUAUCAUGCCAAGAAUGGUAACCACUUCGGUGGUAAUCAUGGCCAAGAUAAUAGGAGUGGAAAUUUCAAGAAGAGAAGGUUCAACAACAAUGGAAAGACAGCAGCACCAACACCCAUUUUCAAGGAAGGAG
rnacentral:lncRNA from 1 species